rnacentral:lncRNA from 1 species
ACCUCCACAACAACUCAAGCCCUAAGUGAUUUCUAUUCACUACUUUCCAAGCUGCUAGGAGAAAGGGAAGAUGUUGUUCAUGUGCACAAAUAUAAUCCUACAGAAAAGGCAGAAUCAGAGUCAGACCUGGUAGCUGAGAUUGCAAAUGUAGUCCAAAAAAAGGAUCUUGGUCGAUCUGAUGCCAGAGAGGGUGCAGAACAUGAGAGGGGUAAUGCUAUUCUUGUCAGAGACAGAAUUCACAAAUUCCACAGACUAGUAUCUACCUUGAGGCCACCAGAGAGCAGAGUUUUCUCAUUACAGCAGCCCCCACCUGGUGAAGGCACCUGGGAACCAGAACACACAGGAGGUGCGUGUAGGGUUUCUUUUAAGCAAUAAAGUGUGAAAUGCUACAAUCCACGUUAGCAAAACCUGAAGGGAAUAAGAAU